AGAGUUUGAUCCUGGCUCAGGAUGAACGCUAGCUACAGGCUUAACACAUGCAAGUCGAGGGGAAACGACAUCGAAAGCUUGCUUUUGAUGGGCGUCGACCGGCGCACGGGUGAGUAACGCGUAUCCAACCUGCCCACCACUUGGGGAUAACCUUGGCGAAAGUAAGACUAAUACCCAAUGACGUCUCUAGAAGACAUCUGAAGGAGAUUAAAGAUUAUCGGUGAUGGAUGGGGAUGCGUCGUGAUUAGCUUGUUGGCGGGGUAACGGCCACCAAGGCGACGAUCAGUAGGGGUUCUGAGAGGAAGGUCCCCACAUUGGAACUGAGACACGGUCCAAAACUCCUACGGGAGGCA
rnacentral:rRNA from 1 species